AGGUGAAGUGCAACUCCACGCUUCCAGAAAGAACCUCCCAUAGCUCUAUACUUGGAAUCCAUCCAUCACUCCCCCUGGUCUUCAGCUUUCUCUAAUGCUCUGAUUCCAGCAUGGAGACAUCAACAGGUAAGAAAGUGGCAGUGGCAUGGCAGGGAAGUUUGUGAAUUCUGUUGCAUUCUGGAAAGCAGAGGCCACUGUUGAAUUAUCUACAGCUGAAGAUCAUGCUGUUCAUUCAGUAAGGAAGACAUGGUUUAUGAGCUGACACCCAAGUCUCCUGGUAAAUUUGGAACCUGUGGAUAGGGCUCCAGCUGGUACUUAUGCCCUAAACCCGGGAACACAUAUUGUCUACUUUGCACUAUCCCAUUUACUUUUAGUGGACUGUCUCUGCAGGGGAGUUUAGAAAUGUAAUGAAACAGCCCAUACAUAAAAAAUGUCAGUAAAACAGGGUUGGGUACAUUGAAGAUUUAAACA